GACGAACGCUGGCGGCGUGCUUAACACAUGCAAGUCGAACGGAAAGGCCCUGCUUUUGUGGGGUGCUCGAGUGGCGAACGGGUGAGUAACACGUGAGUAACCUGCCCUUGACUUUGGGAUAACUUCAGGAAACUAGGGUUAAUACCGGAUAGGAUCUCCUGCUGCAUGGUGGGGGUUGGAAAGUUUCGGCGGUUGGGGAUGGACUCGCGGGUUAUCAGCUUGUUGGUUGGGUAGUGGCUUACCAAGGCUUUGACGGGUAGCCGGCCUGAGAGGGUGACCGGCCACAUGGGGACUGAGAGACGGACCAGACUCCUACGGGGGGCAGCGGGGGGGAAUAUUGCACAACGGGCGGAAGCCUGAUGCAGCAACGCCGCGUGCGGGAUGACGGCCUUCGGGUUGUAAACCGCUUUCGCCUGUGACGAAGCGUGAGUGACGGUAAUGGGUAAAGAAGCACCGGCUAACUACGUG
rnacentral:rRNA from 1 species